CGAUGACGUUGAUAGGCCGGGUGUGUAAGCGCAGCGAUGCGUUGAGCUAACCGGUACUAAUGAACCGUGAGGCUUAACCUU
rnacentral:rRNA from 1 species